UGGGGAAUAUUGGACAAUGGGGGGAACCCUGAUCCAGCCAUGCCGCGUGUGUGAAGAAGGCCUUAUGGUUGUAAAGCACUUUAAGCGAGGAGGAGGGUACUGGUAUUAAUACUACCAGGUACUGGACGUUACUCGCAGAAUAAGCACCGGCUAACUCUGUGCCAGCAGCCGCGGUAAUACAGAGGGUGCGAGCGUUAAUCGGAUUUACUGGGCGUAAAGCGUGCGUAGGCGGCUAAUUGAGUCGGAUGUGAAAUCCCCGAGCUUAACUUGGGAAUUGCAUUUGAGACUGGUUAGCUAGAGUGUGGGAGAGGAUGGUAGAAUUCCAGGUGUAGCGGUGAAAUGCGUAGAGAUCUGGAGGAAUACCGAUGGCGAAGGCAGCCAUCUGGCCUAACACUGACGCUGAGGUACGAAAGCAUGGGGAGCAAACAGG
rnacentral:rRNA from 1 species